AUUGUUGCGCUUAAGACGGAGUUUGUCUCAUAUAUUGUGUGAGUGUAACAGGAUGCUUAAAUAUAAUAUUGUAGACAUAUGAUUUUGUGUAGACAUCUCUUUCAAUUUGACAUUUGCAUUUACUGUUGAAGAAUUCAUAUUCAUAAAUUUAGAUAGAGUGGUAUAUUUAUGCUUUCACUAAUUACUUGAAAAUUAUGUAUCGUAAGAGGACUGGAAAACACAUGUUUAAGGACAAGACUUUCCAAAGAGCCCACAUCACAUUCCAUCAAAACUUCGGUGCAUAUUUCAUAGGAGCAAUCUUUGGUUACAUCUACCACAACACAACACACACUAGUGUGAAAUGGACAAAGGUGGGGCACUGUGUGGUGUGGCUCAUUGCCAUCACAGCACUUUUAUUCACCCAUCUGAUAUCCACAGUCUUCUAGCAGCCCAGCUACAAACAUAACAGCCUAAUAGCAAGUCUGUAUGCAUGUAGUUAUAACAUAAUCAUAGCAGCAGCAAUAGGCACCAUACAUACAUACAUAUUUAUUUCGUUCCAGAGAUCUACAAUUGGCAGUGCUGCCUUGAGAUAUAGAACAUGUCAAUAAAAAGUACAUUUAAAAUGAUAAAUUGUUAAAAAUUAAAUAUCCAAGACAUUUAAAAAGGCCACAUAUAAUUGUAGUACAUUAACAGUUGUAGAACACAAACAAGUAACACAUCAAACCAAAUCACAGACACGACACCGAAACAAACAA